UUUUCAUAGAGGAUUUCCCUUUGCUUUUUUACCUACCAGUCCAGAACCACUUUAAAUGAAGUUUAAGUGUUGAGCUCCUUGACCCUCCAACAGAUGGUGCAGUGUUUAGGUGCAUGUUCAAGAGAGGGCUUGUUUACUUCCAGAUUAUUUUAUAGAUACAGUUCUUUGUAGUGGGUAAAUUAUUAAUGUCCCCUCUCUUAAAAAGUUAUUGAUUUUGACUUCUGUUUCCCCAGUUCCACAAGACCACCAAAAGCACUGCUUAACCUUUCAACUGGAAUGGCCACUAUACUCGUAGGUAGCUACAGAUGAAGUAAAUGGAAUUUUGAGAGGAAUUUCCACUAUCUACUUCUAAUGGGCAAAAUACCAUGCUACCUGGACACAGCAGAAAACCGGGAGGCUACUUACUAUAAUAACAAGUGGGGAUUAAGUGGAAGCCUUGAAAUUGAUCUGAGAGAGAAGAUGUCUAUGUGCCUUAUAUGUGAUAUAUCAUGGAAAUGGUAAGUGGCUUUUUGACAAGAGGACAUGCCUGACCACCAUCAUGUCUACAGCUGUCUGUGAACAGCCAAAAUUAUGGUGGGAUUUGGGAUUUCAAUAUAUCUGUUUUGAAAUCAAACAGUAAUGUGACUAUAGAUAUAUAAAUUUGCAGUAAUUAUAGAUGAUACAGCAUAGACUUUCUUUAGUACAACCUGAAGAAGAAAAGUAACUUAGCUAAACUGAAUAGUUUGGGAAAGUCUAUUUUGUUUAUUGGCACUAAGGAGUGAAAGAGGUAAGAUGGAAAAG
rnacentral:lncRNA from 1 species